UAUUAAUAAUACUAUUUGGAAACAAAUCCUGAAUACUUUUGAUAUUCCCGACACAACUGAUAUGAGGAAAGAAUGGAUACAAUAUGUGGGUGAUCGGUGGAAAGAUUUUUAAGCGAAAUUGGUGAGCAAGUAUAUAUACGGUAGUUUUGCAGGUAUGAGCCCAUGUAUAAAAUACGACUUCAUUGAACAAGAGACAUGGAAUGAGUUUGUAAAGUCGCAUACAGGUCCAGCAUAUGAGGCAAAAAGAAAAAAAUUUCAAGACAUACAAGCUAAGA